GCCUGGCUGGUUCAGUAGGAAGAACAUGUGACUCAAACUCAAGGUUGUGAGUUUGAGCCCCAUGUCAGGUA
rnacentral:tRNA from 1 species